CUACGGGGCGCACCAGUGGGGAAUAUUGGACAAUGGGGGAAACCCUGAUGCAGCAACGCCGCGUGGAGGAUGACGCAUUUCGGUGUGUAAACUCCUUUUAUAUGUCAAGAAAAUGACGGUAGCAUAUGAAUAAGCACCGGCUAACUCCGUGCCAGCAGCCGCGGUAAUACGGAGGGUGCAAGCGUUACUCGGAAUCACUGGGCGUAAAGGACGCGUAGGCGGGUUGGAAAGUCAGGUGUGAAAUCCUACAGCUUAACUGUAGAACUGCACUUGAAACUUCUAAUCUAGAGUAUGGGAGGGGGAGAUGGAAUUAGUGGUGUAGGGGUAAAAUCCGUAGAUAUCACUAGGAAUACCUAAAGCGAAGGCGAUCUCCUGGAACAUUACUGACGCUAAGGCGUGAAAGCGUGGGGAGCAAACAGGAUUAGAUACCCCAGUAGUC
rnacentral:rRNA from 1 species